GAUGAACGCUGGCGGUAUGCCUAAUACAUGCAAGUCGAGCGGAAAGGCCCCUUCGGGGGUACUCGAGCGGCGGACGGCAGAGUAACGCGUAGGAACGUACCCCAAACUGAGGGAUAACUGCUCGAAAGAGUAGCUAAUACCGCAUGUGGUCUUCGGACUAAGGCCUUCGGGCGGUUUGGGAACGGCCUGCGUUCGAUUAGGUAGUUGGUGAGGUAAAGGCUCACCAAGCCGACGAUCUGUAGCUGGUCUGAGAGGACGACCAGCCACACUGGGACUGAGACAUGGCCCAGACUCCUACGGGAGGCAGCAGUGGGGAAUUUUGGACAAUGGACGCAAGUCUGAUCCAGCCAUUCCGCGUGCAGGACGAAGGCCUUCGGGUUGUAAACUGCUUUUGUACAGAACGAAAAGGUCUCUAUUAAUACUGGGGGCUCAUGACGGUACUGUAAGAAUAAGCACCGGCUAACUACGUGCCAGCCGCCGCAGUAA
rnacentral:rRNA from 1 species